GGCACAACCGCCUCACCUCCCCACAAAACCGUUCAAUCGCAUUUCUCUAAUGGGGGGAAAAGACAGAAAAAUAGAGAGUAAAAGUCAUGACAUUUCCAGGGGAAAAGUUUCAUCAUGUACCCAGAGCUGGUCCUGUGAAAAGCUCCAGUGAAGCAGACAAAUAUUUAAAGCAUGCAAAACUAGCAAGGGUGGAAUGUUCAAGGACGGAAGAGUCAGCACAUGCAAAGCAACUUUUUACCUGGUGAAGGAGAGGUACAACAAUAUCCAAAUAAUCAAAAUAGGACUCGAGAAAUGUUUCUCCUUCCCCCACUGCUGGACACCAGAAAUAGCUCAAAAAUAGAGGAAAUGAUGACUCUAAAGCUCAGUUUUGAGCCAAUGUACUUUCAAAACUUCAUGCACUACAGCUUCUACAACCACAUCAUCUUCAGGAGACCAGGCUGUCAAA